UUACUGUGUGGAAAACUUACACCCCUCCCCUUUUACAAAGAAUUGUCCCUCAAUAAGGUCAAAGGUGACAAAGAUGGCGGCGGCCUGAGAGUUAGUGUUGUGAGACAUCAACAGACUAGUUAAGAUUUCUCCUUUUUGGAACUAGUCAGAGAUGGUGACUUAGAAGUUGGGAAUACCAUUCUUAUUUGGUGUAUCCGCUUCUGCAUGAUGUCCUUGUUAUCAGAUGACCUGAAUAGCUUUGCGCAAGGCUGGAAUGACUGAAGGAAGCUGCCUGGUCACGGUGCACCUGCUGGCCGUCCAAAUGCGCUUUAUUUCCUGCCACACCUUUCAGGGGGCCAAAACCUACUACAAGACGUGGAUGCGAGGAUGCUCCACCAUGCACAGCGAGAGUGCACAUCACCCUCACUUGUUUGGAAUGACAGAUUUCAUCGCUACUUAUGUGAUAUGUUGCAAAGGUUAAAUAAGAGGUAUCCCACAAAUUGCGAUGAUGCAUCUUUCUUAUGCGCUUUGAUCAUCCUGUAUUAUACAAACACAUCUCAAAUUAUAUUUUUAACAUUACAAAGAAACGAGAAGAAGCCGAACCAUUGUAUUAGAGU